rnacentral:rRNA from 1 species
UUAAAGGGGUACGUGAGUUGGGUUCAGAACGUCGUGAGACAGUUCGGUCUCUAUCUGCCGUGGGCGUAGGAGGCUUGCGGGGACCCCUCCCUAGUACGAGAGGACCGGGAGGGACGGCCCUCUGGUGUGCCGGUAGUCCUGCCAAGGGCGUCGCCGGGUAGCCAUGGCCGGCCAGGAGAAGCGCUGAAAGCAUCUAAGCGCGAAACCCUCCCCAAGACGAGGCCUCCCAUUCCAAUUCGGAAGUAAGGCCGCAGGUAGACCACCUGCUUAGAGGACGGAGGUGCAAGGCAGGCAACUGCUUCAGCUGACCGUUCCUCAUCGGCCGAGGCCUUCCCCAC